AAGUUUUAAGGUUUAAACUGCUUAUUUGUGGAAUAAGAGAGUCAACUUAUAGUUGAAAAACUUC
rnacentral:tRNA from 1 species